rnacentral:lncRNA from 1 species
GGAACUUGAGGUGGGGGUGAAGGAAAGAACUAGCAUGGAAGAAAAAGGACAGGCCUUAGCCCCUUUAUAAAGGCGACGAAUAUCAAGCGCCCCCUCCGUGGCCUUAAAACAUGCCUAUUCCCAAGGAAUCGUGCCAACGAAACGGUUGGGUUACCCACGCCCGUGUUGAUGAAAAUCCCACAAUAAGGGGACAUGAUCUCUGCUUUGACAAGACGUGCCAAUAAAAACCGCCUCCCGAAACAUGGGGUGCCAGGCUAGAAAACGAUUCAAAAUAAUGGCCGGGUAAUGACGUAAUGUCGUACUACCAAAAUUGUCAGCGGAUUGGACUCGUAAAUAUUAUACUCUCCACGGUGGUUUGUCGGACCUGUUUUGCAGAGCCGGACAUGAUUCUUGUGUUCGAGGUCUACUUUGAAGUAUUCAUAGAAGGAACCCGCCUUGCAAUGCCGAAGACAAUCUACGCGCCGGACUCAUCGUCAUUGAAGCCUGGUUCAGGGGCUACUUAGGGAGUCCUGGACUAAGGGGUCCUCGUACAGCCGGAUUAUAUACUUUUGCCGGACUGUUGGACUAUGAAGAUACAAGAUAGAAGACGGCGUCCCGUGUCCGGAUGGGACUCUCCUUUGUGUGGAAGGCAAGCAUGGCGAUUCGGAUAUGUAGAUUCCUUUCUCUGUAACCGACUUUGUACAACCCUAGUCCCCCCUGAUAUGUCUCCAACGUAUCUAUAAUUUUUGUUUGUUCCAUGCUAUUUUAUUAUCUGUUUUGAAUGAUUAUGGGCUUUAUUAUACACUUCUAUAUUACUUUUGGGACUAACCUAUUAACCGGAGGCCCAGCCCAUAUUGUUGUUUUAUUGCCUGUUUCAGUAUUUCGAAGAAAAUGAAUAUCAAACGGAGUUCAAACAGAAUGAAACCUUCGACAUCGUGAUUUUUUGGAAGAAUAUCAUCCUGGAGGCUUGGAGAUCAAGCCAGAAGAUCCUCGAGGAGCCCAGGAGAUAGGGCCCCCCCCCUACAGGGCGCGGCCCCCUGUCUCGUGGACCCCUCGAGCACCCCCCGACCGACUUCUUUCGCCUAUAUAGUCCCACGUACCCUAAAAACAUCCACGAAGAAGAUAGAUCGGGAGUUCUGCCGCUGCAAGCCUCUGUAGCCACCAAAAACGUCUCGGGAGCACAUUCCGGAACCCUGCCGGAGGGGGGAUCCUUCACCGGUGGCCAUCUUCAUCAUCCCGGCACUCUCAAUGACGAGGAGGGAGUAGUUCACCCUCGAGGCUGAGGAUAUGUACCAGUAGCUAUGUGCUUGAUAUCUCUCUCUCUCUCUCUCUCUCUCUCUCUCUCUCUCUCUCUCGUGUUUUCUCUUGUGUUCCUGCUAUGGCACGAUCUUGAUGUAUCCCAAGCUUUGCUAUUGUAGUUGGAUCUUAUGAUGUUUCUCCCCUCUACUCUCUUGUGAUGAAUUGAGUUUUCCCCUUUGAAGUUAUCUUAUCGGAUUGAGUCUUUUAUGAGAACACUUGAUGUAUGUCUUGCCGUGCUUAUCUGUGGUGACAAUGGGAUAUCAUGUGCCUCUUGAUGUAUGUUUUGGUGACCAACUUGCGGGUUUCGCCCAUGAACCUAUGCAUAGGGGUUGGCACACGUUCUUGACUCUUCGGUAGAAACUUUGGGGCACUCUUUGAAGUACUUUGUGUUGGAUGGAUGAAUCUGAGAUUGUGUGAUGCAUAUCGUAUAAUCAUGCACACGGAUACUUGAGGUGACAAUGGAGUAUCUAGGUGACAUUAGGGUUUUGGUUGAUUUGUGUCUUAAGGUGUUAUUCUAGUACGAACUCUUUUAUAGAUUGAUCUGAAAGAAUAACUUUGAGGUGGUUUCGUACCCUACCAUAAUCUCUAUGUUUGUUCUCCGCUAUUAGUGGCUUUGGAGUGACUCUUUGUUGCAUGUUGAGGGCUUGUUAUAUGAUCUAUCUAUGUUAUUAUUGUUGAGAGAACUUGAACUAGUGAAAGUAUGAACCCUAGGCCUUGUUUCCUAUCAUUGCAAUACCGUUUACGCUUAUUUUUACCACUUGUUACCUUGCUGUUUUUAUAAUUUCAGAUUACAAAAACCUUUAUCUACCAUCUAUUUUGCACUUGUAUCACCAUUCCUUCGCCGAACUAGUGCACCUAUACAAUCUACCAUUGUAUUGGGUGUGUUGGGGACACAAGAGACUCUUUGUUAUUUGGUUGCAGGGUUGUUUGAGAGAGACCAUCUUCAUCCUACGCCUCCUACGGAUUGAUAAACCUUAGGUCAUCCACUUGAGAGAAAUUUGCUACUGUCCUACAAACCUGUGCACUUGCAGGCCCAACAACGUCUACAAGAAGAAGGUCGUGUAGUAGACAUCAAGUUCUUUUCUGGUGUCGUUGCCGGGGAGGUGAGUGCUUGAAGGUAUAUAUUUAUAUCUUGCAAUCGAAUCUUUUUGUUUCUUGUUUUAUCACUAGUUUAGUUUAUAAAAGAAAACUACAAAAAAAUGGAGUUAAGUUUGUCUCGUACGCUUCGUCUUUUUAAUAUCUUUCGUGAGUUUGAUGGAAAGGAAAUUUGUGCUCAAGUGCUAGAAGAAGAAUGCAUUAGAAUGCUUGAUACUAAAUCUUUGAAUGAUGAGCAUGAUUGCAAUGUUGUUAGUAUGAAAUCCUUGAAUAUCCAUAGUAUUAAUGAUGAUUGCUCUAGUCAUGAUGAAAAUAUCUCUUAUGAGCAUGUCAACUUUUGUGGAGUGCAUGUCUGCAUGAACACACCUAAUAGAGAAUAUAUUUAUUGCAAGAGGCAUAAGAAUUUAGAAACUAAAUGGUUGCAAGAAAGGCUAGAUGUGAGUGCUGAAAAUUUAAAAUUCCUUUGCCGUACUUGUGAACUUUGCAAUAAACAUGGUCAUUUACAUCUCCAAUGAAAAUUGUUUCAUGAUCGAAUCGUGUCCAAAAAUUGUGAUGAUUUGAUCUCCCUUGCACACUACAAUGAACUUAGUUUACUUUUGGGUUAUGAAGAAUUGAAACAUUUACUUAAGGAUCUUCCAGAAUUUGCCCAUAAGAAAUUCCUUUGAUAUUGAUCUAGAAAAGAUUUAUAUGUUUUGUGCGGAGAAUUGCAUUGAAAAUCCUUAUAUUUCCAAUAAAGAAAAGAAAGCAAAUAGAAGAUGAUGAGAAUACUAAUGAAAGGGAAGAGACUUCCCAAUAUCCUCCUAUUAUUUCUUAUGAUGAAUCAGGCAACGAGGAGGAGCUUUCUAUUCAAACAAUCUUGUCAAUAAGGAGCUCAAAAAGGAAGGUUGAACCCACACAUAAUGUGAAGAAGAAAAAGAAAAGAAGGAGCAACAAAGGUAAAAAGGCAUCCCUCCCAAAUGAUGUUGCUCCUACUACUCAUUGUAAUGAUGAUAAUUGCUUUACUAUUGGUGCUAUCCAUAUUUUUAAUAAUGAGAGUGAUUAUGCUUAUGAUAUGAAAGGGCCCAAGCUUGGGGAAGCUAUGUUUGAGGAGGAUGAAAUAUUUGAGAAUAUAUUUGCUGAAAUUAAUGUUUGUCCCAAGCUUGGGGAUGAUAUGUUUAAUGAAGAUGAUAUUUUUAGCAUCCCAAGUUUUGAUAUGCAAAGUUGUUAUGAUGAUAGCAUGCCUUGUACCUAUGAUGAUUAUAUUGAUGAAAGUGGGUUCGGAAGAGUGUCAACUUGAGGAAGUAAUGAUCCCACUAUUUUGGAGGAUGUUGAAUUUUAUUGUGAUGAAUAUGAAAGUGGGUUCGGAAGAGUGUCAACUUUAGGAAGUAAUGAUCCCACUAUUUUGGAGGAUGUUGAAUUUUAUUGUGAUGAAUAUGAAAGUGGAUUUGGAAGAGUGUCAACUUUAUUUAGUGAUUCCACUAUCUUGGGAGAGGUUUCAAUCGAUUAUGAUGAGAAUGAAAUUGCUAGUUAUGAUGAUUAUUCUGAUGAAACUUAUGCUAUAAAAAGUAGUGAUGAUUAUAUUUACAAAUAUUGUCAUGAUUAUGAUUACCCUUUUUCUGAAUGUUACUCUUUUAAUGUGGAAACAAUUUUUAGUGUUCAAGUCUCUUAUGAUACUCUCACUAUUCCGAAUGAGAAGAAUUUUGCUUAUGUGGAGAGUAGUAAAUUUUCUAUGCUUGUAGAUCAUGAAAAAAAUGCUUUAGGUUCUGGUUAUAUUGUUGAAUUCACUCAUGAUGCUAAUGAAAAUUAUUAUGAGGAAGGAACAUAUGCUUGUAGGAAUUGCAAUAAUAUUAAGUUUCCUCUCUAUGUGUUGAAAAUUUUGAAGCUAUGCUUGUUUUACCUUCCUAUGCUAGUUGAUUAUUGUUCCCCUAAGUUGUUUGCUCACAAAAUCCCUAUGCAUAGUAAGUGGGUUAGGCUUAAAUGUGCUAGUCAUAUGCUUCAUGAUGCUCCCAUUAUGUUUCAAUUCUUAUCUUUUAUGUGAGCAUCAUUGCCAUCAUCAUGCCUAGCUAGAAAGGCAUUAAAGAAAAGCGCUUGUUAGGAGACAACCCAAUAUUUACCCUUACUGUUUUUGUGUGUACACAUGAUUAUGCUACUGUAGUAAUCAUGUUUUAUAGCCUUUUUUCAAUAAAGGGCCAAGUAGAACCUUUGGGAAGACUUGGGUGAAGUUUAUAUGAUCUUGCUGUGAAAAACAGAAACUUUAGCGCUCACGAGAAUAGCUGCCAUUUUUUACUGGAGAGUGAUUUUAGGUUGAUUCUUUUUGCAUAUGAUUAAUAGACACAUUACUCAGGUCCAUAAAUUUCUUUAAUAAUUUUUGGGGUUCCAGAAGUAUACUUUUGAUACAGAUUACUACAGACUGUUCUGUUUUUGACAGAUUCUGUUUUCUCUGUGUUGUUUGCUUAUUUUGAUGAAUCUAUGAGUAGUAUCGGAGGGUAUGAACCAUAGAGAAGUUAGAAUACAGUAGAUAUUACACCAAUAUGAAUUUAUAAUGAUUUCAUUACAGUACCUAAGUGGUGGUUUUAUUUUCUUAUACUAACGGAGCUUACGAGUUUUGUGUUGAGUUUUGUGUGGUUGAAGUUUUCAAGUUUUGGGUAAAGAUUCGAUGGACUAUGGAAUAAGGAGUGGCAAGAGCCUAAGCUUGGGGAUGCCAAAGGCACCCCAAGUUAAUAUUCAAGGACAACCAAGAGCCUAAGCUUGGGGAUGCCCCGGAAGGAAUCCCCUCUUUCGUCUUCGUUCAUCGGUAACUUUACUUGGAGCUAUAUUUUUAUUCACCACAUGAUAUGUGUUUUGCUUGGAGCAUCAUUUUAUUUUGUUAGUUUUUGCUUGCUGUUAGUUAGAAUAAUGUUUUUCAGCUUUAGUUUCAAUAAAAGUGUCAAGGAUAGCCUUUACCAUGCUUAUUUUGCUAGUAUACAUGUUGCUGUUUGAAAACAGAAAGUUUACCGCUGUUGCAAAAAUUCCCUAGAAAACUCAGAGAAUGGUAUAACGUCGAAUCUAUUUGCAUAUUAAGAUCUGAUAAAUUUAUUACAGUGGGAAUUUUAGUUCAUAAUUUUUGGAGUCAGGGAAGUAUUGAUACUCUUGCAUUCUUUACAGACUAGACUGUUUUGGCAGAUUGCUGUUAUGGUUGCAUUGUUUGCGUAUGUUUGCUUGUUUAAUGAUUCUAUUUGAGGAUAGGAGUAUUAAAUAUGCAGAGGCAUUUAGUAUGAAAUGUUGAAUAAUAAUUUUAGUGAUUUGUUACAGUAGAGGAUGAUAUGGUUUUGCAUUGGUUUAUACUAACCUAUCUCACGAGUUCUUGUUGAGUUUGUUGUGAAUGAAGCUUUUGAUAAAAAGAGAAACCAUGAUAUGAGAGGAAUUAAGGAGACACAAAAGUUCAAGCUUGGGGAUGCCCAAGGCACCCCAAGAUAAUAUUUCAAGAAGUCUCAAGCAUCUAAGCUUGGGGAUGCCCUGGUAGGCAUCCCACCUUUCUUCUUCGACAAUCAUAGGUUAGUAUCGGUUGAGCCUAAGUUUUUGCUUCUUCACAUGAGUUGUGCUAUCCUUGCAAUGCUAUUUUAUUUUGUUUGCUUGCUGUUUGAAUAAGAUACCAAGAUCUUAAAUUCUUUAAUGAGAGAGAGUCUUUGCAUAGUUGCAUAAUUAUUUAGCUACUCUUUGAUCUUCACUUAUAUCUUUCGGAGUAGUUUGUCAUUUGCUCUAGUACUUCACUUAUAUCUUUUAGAGCAUGGAGGUGCUUAUAUUUUGAAGAAAUUGCUAGUCUCUCAUGCUUCACUUAUAUUAUUUUGAGAGUCUUAAACAGCAUGGUAAUUUGAAUGAAAACUAUCAUAGGAAGUGAAUUGGAUGCUAUGAUCAACUUGAUGCUUGAUAAUUGUUUUGAGAUAUAAAGGUAGUAAUGUUAGGGUCAUGCUAGUGGAUAAUUAUGAAAUUGAGAAAUACUUUUGUUGAAUUUGGCGAGUCCUGUAGCAUGCACGUAUGGUAAAAGUUGUGUGACAAAUUUGUUGCAUGAGGUGCUCUUUUGAGUGUCUUCCUUAUGAGUGGCAGUCGGGGACGAGCGAUGGAAUUUUUUCCUACCAAUCUAUCCCUCUUGGGGCAUGCAUAGUAGUACUUUGCUUCGAGGGCGAAGUAGAUUUUUGCAAUAAGUAUAUGAGUUCUUUUUUUGACUACGAGUCCAUGGACAUAUGCACACUUAUCCUUUUACUUUGCUAGCCUUUAUUAUUACCGCGCAACUCUCGCCGGUAUUGAACCCUUUAUUUACCUUCCUCAAAACAGCCACCAUACCUACCUAUUAUGGCAUUUCCAUAGCCAUUACGAGAUAUAUUGCCAUGCAACUUUCCACCGUUCCAUUUAUUAUGACACGUUUUAUCAUUGUCAUAUUGCUCCUUGCAUGAUCAUGUAGUUGACAUCGUAUUUGUGGCAAAGCCACCUUCAUAAUCUUCAUACAUGUCGCUCUUGAUUCAUUGCAUAUCCCGGUACACCGCCGGAGGCAUUCACAUAGAGUCAUAUCUUGUUCUAGCUUUGAGUUGUAAUUUUUGAGCUGUAAAUUCAUAAAAGUGUGAUGAUCUUCAUUAUUAGAGCAUUGUCCUAAGUGAGGAAAGGAUGAUGAAGGCUAUGAUUCCCCCACAAGUCGGGAUGAGACUUUGGACUUUACAAAAAAAGAAAGAAAGAAAUGAGAAAAGAAAAAAAAUGAGAAAGGACAAUGCUACUAUCUCUUUUUCCACACGUGUGCUUCAAAUAGCACCAUGAUCUUCAUGAUAGAGAGUCUCAUAUGUUGUCACUUUCAUAUACUAGUGGGAAUUUUUCAUUAUAGAACUUGGCUUGUAUAUUCCAAUGAUGGGCUUCCUCAAAAUGCCCUAGGUCUUCGUGAGCAAGCAAGUUGGAUGCACACCCACUUAGUUUCUUUCGUUGAGCUUUCAUAUAUUUAUAGCUCUAAGUGCAUCCGUUGCAUGGCAAUCCCUACUCACUCACAUUGAUAUCUAUUAAUGGGCAUCUCCUUAUAGCCCGUUAAUACGCCUAGUUGAUGCGAGACUAUCUUCUCCCUUUUUGUCCUCACAACCACCAUAUACCACCAUAGUGCUAUGUCUAUGGCUUGCGCUCAUGUAUUGCGUAAGAGAUGAAAAAGCUGAAGCGCGUUAAAAAGUAUGAACCAAUUGCUCGGCUCGUCAUCGGGGUUGUACAUGAUGGGAGUAUUUUGUGUAACGAAAAUGAAGCAUGGCCUAACUAUAUGAUUUUGUAGGGAUAAGCUUUCUUUGGCUAUGCUAUUUUGAUAGGACAUGAUUAUUUGUUAGUAUGCUUUGAAGCAUUAUUAUUUUUAUGUUUUAUAAGCUUUUAUCUUGAAUCAUUUGGAUCUGAACAUUCAUGCCACAAUAAAGAGAAAUUACAUUGAGAAUCAUGCUAGGUAGCAUUCCACAUCAAAAAAAAAUUGUUUUUAUCAUUUACCUAGGAAUUAAGCUUGGGGAUGCUUGAUACGUCUCCAACGUAUCUAUAAUUUUUGUUUGUUCCAUGCUAUUUUAUUAUCUAUUUUGAAUGAUUAUGGGCUUUAUUAUACACUUCUAUAUUACUUUUGGGACUAACCUAUUAACCGGAGGCCCAUCCCAUAUUUUCGUUUUAUUGCCUAUUUCAGUAUUUCGAAGAAAAGGAAUAUCAAACGGAGUCCAAACGGAAUGAAACCUUCGACAUCGUGAUUUUUUGGAAGAAUAGCAUCCUGGAGGCUUGGAGAUCAAGCCAGAAGAUCCUCGAGGAGCCCAGGAGACAGGGGGGCCCCCCUACAGGGCGCGGCCCCCUAUCUCGUGGACCCCUCGAGAACCCCCCGACUAACUUCUUUCGCAUAUAUAGUCCCACGUACCCUAAAAACAUCCACGGAGAAGAUAGAUCGGGAGUUCUGCCACCGCAAGCCUCUGUAGCCACCAAAAACCUCUCAGGGGCCCGUUCCGGCACCCUGCCGAAGGGGGGAUCCUUCACCGGUGGCCAUCUUCAUCAACUCGGCGCUCUCCAUGACGAGGAGGGAGUAGUUCACCCUCGAGGCUGAGGGUAUGUACCAGUAGCUAUGUGUUUGAUCUCUCUCUCUCGUGUUCUCUCUCGUGUUCCCUCUAUGGCACGAUCUUGAUGUAUCCCGAGCUUUGCUAUUGUAGUUGGAUCUUAUGAUGUUUUUCCCCCUCUACUCUCUUGUGAUGAGUUGAGUUUUCCCCUUUGAAGUUAUCUUAUCGGAUUGAGUCUUUUAUGAGAACACUUGAUGUAUGUCUUGCCGUGCUUAUCUAUGGUGACAAUGGGAUAUCAUGUGCCUCUUGAUGUAUGUUUUGGUGACCAACUUGCGGGUUCCGCCCAUGGACCUAUGCAUAGGGGUUGGCACACGUUCUUGACUCUCCGGUAGAAACUUUGGGGCACUCUUUGAAGUACUUUGUGUUGGAUGGAUGAAUCUGAGAUUGUGUGAUGCAUAUCGUAUAAUCAUGUCCACGGAUACUUGAGGUGACAAUGGAGUAUCUAGGUGACAUUAGGGUUUUGGUUGAUUUGUGUCUUAAGGUGUUAUUCUAGUACGAACUCUUUUAUAGAUCGAUCCAAAAGAAUAACUUUGAGGUGGUUUCGUACCCUACCAUAAUCUCUAUGUUUGUUCUCCGCUAUUAGUGGCUUUGGAGUGACUCUUUGUUACAUGUUGAGGGCUUGUUAUAUGAUCUAUCUAUGUUAUUAUUGUUGAGAGAACUUGCAGUAGUGAAAGUAUGAACCCUAGGCCUUGUUUCCUAUCAUUGCAAUACCGUUUACGCUUAUUUUUACCACUUGUUACCUUGUUGUUUUUAUAAUUUCAGAUUACAAAAACCUUUAUCUACUAUCUAUUUUGCACUUGUAUCACCAUCUCUUCGCCGAACUAGUGCACCUAUACAAUCUACCAUUGUAUUGGGUGUGUUGGGGACACAAGAGACUCUUUGUUAUUUGGUUGCAGGGUUGUUUGAGAGAGACCAUCUUCAUCCUACGCCUCCUACGGAUUGAUAAACCUUAGGUCAUCCACUUGAGGGAAAUUUGCUACUGUCCUACAAACCUGUGCACUUGCAGGCCCAACAACGUCUACAAGAAGAAGGUCGUGUAGUAGACAUCACCCCUCGGUGUUUAUAUAAGCCGGAGGGUUUAGAAUUCUAGGAUUUAGCUACAACAAUCAUAACAUCGUAGGCUAGACUUCUAGGGUUUAGGCAUUACGAUCUCGUGGUAGACCAACUCUUAUAAUACUCAUAUUCAUCAAGAUCAAUUAAGGAGGAAGUAGGGUAUUACCUCCAUAGAGAGGGCCCGAAUCUGGGUAAAAAUUGUGUCCCCCGCCUCCUGUUACCAUUAGCCUUAGACACACAGUUCAGGACCCCCUACCCGAGAUUCACCGGUUUUGACACCGACAGCGCCAGGGGGCCCUGGCACGCCCUGGUGGGUUGUGCCCCCUCGAGGCACCCCCCCCCCCCCAGGUGCAGGUCAGGCCCAUUGGGUUCCUUCUGGUCCAUAAAAAAUCACCGUGGAGUUUCGUUGCAUUUGGACUCCGUUUAGUAUUGAUUUCCUGCGAUGUAAAAAACAAGCAAAAAACAGCAACUGGCAUUGGGCACUGGGUCAAUAGGUUAGUCCCAAAAAAUGAUAUAAAGUUGCUAUAAAAUGAUUGUAAAACACCCAAGAAUGAUAAAAUAACAACAUGAAUACUUCAUAAAUUAUAGAUACGUUGGAGACGUAUCAAGCACCAGCUAGACCAAGUUUGGAUUACAACCCAAAUGCCACAGAAACAUCAGGGGGAAAGAUAGGGACUGAAAGAGCCAGCUUCAGCAUCCCAGUCUAAGCACCCCUGACCUCCAUCCUAGCGACGCAUGAUACACCUCGCUUGCCACAUGCUUGACCCUAGUGCCACUAAUUAAAUGAAGUAAUAAUACAGUUAAAAUAGAAAGAGUGUCCUCUCAAUCAUUUCAAUUCCAAUGUAGAUAAAGAAAGUGUUUCUCUUUGUUAGUAUUUGUCUCAUCAACUAGUCCCGUUGUUAAUGUUUAAGUGUUUAUUCAAACUAGGGUUCUUAAUUUUAGUUGAUCUGCACAAAAAUAGAGGUUGGAAUAUCUCAAGGCCCCUCCUUUUACUACUGAUGUACACUGAUGUUCAUCACUGGCAGAAGUUGUAUUGGGGAGAAUUGGGUCGACUUCCAGUAUGAGGCCUACCGUAUGAGGCGUCGCAGGGCCCAUCUCACCCUCAUAGCAUGGCAUACUAUGAUACUAUCACAAUAUUUUAUUUUAUUUAUUAGUGUAUGUUUCAUCAACUAGUGCCACUAUAAUGUAAUUGAAGGAAAUAUGCCCUAGAGGCAAUAAUAAAGUUAUUAUUUAUUUCCUUAUAAUCAUGAUAAAUGUUUAUUAUUCAUGCUAGAAUUGUAUUUUCCGGAAACAUAAUACAUGUGUGAAUACAUAGACAAACAGAGUGUCACUAGUAUGCCUCUACUUGACUAGCUCGUUAAUCAAAGAUGGUUAUGUUUCCUAACCAUGAACAAUGAGUUGUUAUUUGAUUGACGAGGUCACAUCAUUAGUAGAAUGAUCUGAUUGACAUGACCCAUUCCAUUAGCUUAGCACCUGAUCGUUUAGUAUGUUGCUAUUGCUUUCUUCAUGACUUAUACAUGUUCCUAUGACUAUGAGAUUAUGCAACUCCCGUUUACCGGAGGAACACUUUGGGUACUACCAAACGUCACAACGUAAAUGGGUGAUUAUAAAGGAGUACUACAGGUGUCUCCAAUGGUCGAUGUUGGGUUGGCGUAUUUCGAGAUUAGGAUUUGUCACUCCAAUUGUCGGAGAGGUAUCUCUGGGCCCUCUCGGUAAUACACAUCACAUAAGCCUUGCAAGCAUUACAACUAAUAUGUUAGUUGUGAGAUGAUGUAUUACGGAACGAGUAAAGAGACUUGCCGGUAACGAGAUUGAACUAGGUAUUGGAUACCGACGAUCGAAUCUCGGGCAAGUAACAUACCGAUGACAAAGGGAACAACGUAUGUUGUUAUGCGGUCUGACCGAUAAAGAUCUUCGCAGAAUAUGUAGGAGCCAAUAUGGGCAUCCAGGUCCCGCUAUUGGUUAUUGACCGGAGACGUGUCUCGGUCAUGUCUACAUUGUUCUCGAACCCGUAGGGUCCGCACGCUUAAGGUUACGAUGACAGUUAUAUUAUGAGUUUAUGCAUUUUGAUGUACCGAAGGUUGUUCGGAGUCCCGGAUGUGAUCACGGACAUGACGAGGAGUCUCGAAAUGGUCGAGACAUAAAGAUUGAUAUAUUGGAAGCCUAUAUUUGGAUAUCGGAAGUGUUCCGGGUGAAAUCGGGAUUUUACCGGAAUACCGGGAGGGUUACCGGAACCCCCCGGGAGCUAUUUGGGCCAUAGUGGGCCUUAGUGGAAAAGAGAAGGGGCUGCCCAAGUUGGGCUGCGCCCCCCCUUCCCCUAGUCCUAUUAGGACUAGGAGAGGUGGCCGGCCCCCUCCUCCUCUUUUCCCCUCCGAGGAAUCCUAGUUGGACUAGGAUUGGAGGGGGAAUCCUACUCCCAGAGGGAGUAGGACUCUCCUGCGCCUCCCCCCUUGGCCGGCCAGCCUCCCCUCCUCUCCUCCUUUAUAUACGGAGGCAGGGGCACCUCUAAACACACAAGUUGACACAAGUUGAUCCACGUGAUCGAUUCCUUAGCCGUGUGCGGUGCCCCCUGCCACCAUAUUCCUCGAUAAUACUGUAGCGGAGUUUAGGCGAAGCCCUGCUGCUGUAGUUCAUCAAGAUCGUCACCACGCCGUCGUGCUGACGAAACUCUUCCCCGACACUUUGCUGGAUCGGAGUCCGGGGAUCGUCAUCGAGCUGAACGUGUGCUCGAACUCGGAGGUGCCGUAGUUUCGGUGCUUGAUCGGUUGGAUCGUGAAGACGUACGACUACUUCCUCUACGUCGUGUCAUCGCUUCCGCAGUCGGUCUGCGUUGGGUACGUAGACAACACUCUCCUCUCGUUGCUAUGCAUCACAUGAUCCUGUGUGCGCGUAGGAAAAUUUUUGAAAUUACUACGAAACCUAACAAGAACAUCCUAAAAUACCUGAAAAGGACUAAGGAUAUGUUUCUCGUAUAUGGAGGUGACAAAGAGCUCACCGUAAAAGGUUACGUUGAUGCAAGCUUUGACACUGAUCCGGACGAUUCUAAAUCGCAAACCGGAUACGUGUUUACAUUAAACGGUGGAGCUGUCAGUUGGUGCAGUUCUAAACAAAGCGUUGUAGCGGGAUCUACAUGUGAAGCGGAAUACAUAGCUGCUUCGGAAGCAGCAAAUGAAGGAGUCUGGAUGAAGGAGUUCAUAUCCGAUCUAGGUGUCAUACCUAGUGCAUCGGGUCCAAUGAAAAUCUUUUGUGACAAUACUGGUGCAAUUGCCUUGGCAAAGGAAUCCAGAUUUCACAAAAGGACCAAACACAUCAAGAGACGCUUCAACUCCAUCCGGGAUCUAGUCCAGGUGGGAGACAUAGAGAUUUGCAAGAUACAUACGGAUCUGAAUGUUGUAGACCCAUUGACUAAGCCUCUUCCACGAGCAAAACAUGAUCAGCACCAAGGCUCCAUGGGUGUUAGAAUCAUUACAGUGUAAUCUAGAUUAUUGACUCUAGUGCAAGUGGGAGACUGAAGGAAAUAUGCCCUAGAGGCAAUAAUAAAGUUAUUAUUUAUUUCCUUAUAAUCAUGAUAAAUGUUUAUUAUUCAUGCUAGAAGUGUAUUUACCGGAAACAUAAUACAUGUGUGAAUACAUAGACAAACAAAGUGUCACUAGUAUGCCUCUACUUGACUAGCUCGUUAAUCAAAGAUGGUUAUGUUUCCUAACCAUGAACAAUGAGUUGUUAUUUGAUUAACGAGGUCACAUCAUUAGUAGAAUGAUCUGAUUGACAUGACCCAUUCCAUUAGCUUAGCACCUGAUCGUUUAGUAUGUUGCUAUUGCUUUCUUCAUGACUUAUACAUGUUCCUAUGACUAUGAGAUUAUGCAACUCCCGUUUACCGGAGGAACACUUUGGUUACUACCAAACGUCACAACGUAAAUGGGUGAUUAUAAAGGAGUACUACAGGUGUCUCCAAUGGUCGAUGUUGGGUUGGCGUAUUUCGAGAUUAGGAUUUGUCACUCCGAUUGUCGGAGAGGUAUCUCUGGGCCCUCUCGGUAAUACACAUCACAUAAGCCUUGCAAGCAUUACAACUAAUAUGUUAGUUGUGAGAUGAUGUAUUACGGAACGAGUAAAGAGACUUGCCGGUAACGAGAUUGAACUAGGUAUUGGAUACCGACGAUCGAAUCUCGGGCAAGUAACAUACCGAUGACAAAGGGAACAACGUAUGUUGUUAUGCGGUCUGACCGAUAAAGAUCUUCGUAGAAUAUGUAGGAGCCAAUAUGGGCAUCCAGGUCCCGCUAUUGGUUAUUGACCUGAGACAUGUCUCGGUCAUGUCUACAUUGUUCUCGAACCCGUAGGGUCCGCACGCUUAAGGUUACGAUGACAGUUAUAUUAUGAGUUUAUGCAUUUUGAUGUACCGAAGGUUGUUCGGAGUCCCGGAUGUGAUCACGGACAUGACGAGGAGUCUCGAAAUGGUCGAGACGUAAAGAUUGAUAUAUUGGAAGCCUAUGUUUGGACAUCGGAAGUGUUCCGGGUGAAAUCGGGAUUUUACCGGGUUACCGGGAGGUUACCGGAACCCCCCGGGAGCCAUAUGGGCCUUCAUGGGCCUUAGUGGAAAGGAGAAAGGGGCAGCCCAAGGUGGCUGCGCCUCUUCCCCCUCCCCUAGUCCUAUUAGGACUAGGAGAAGGUGGCCGGCCCCCCUCUCUCCCUUCCCCUCCGAGGAAUCCUAGUUGGACUAGGAUUGGGGGGAGGAAUCCUACUCCCAGAGGGAGUAGGACUCUCCUGCGCCUCCCUCUAUGGCUGGCCAGCCUCCCCCUCUCUACUCCUUUAUAUACGGAGGCAGGGGCACCUCUAAACACACAAGUUGACACAAGUUGAUCCACGUGAUCGAUUCCUUAGCCGUGUGCGGUGCCCCCUGCCACCAUAUUCCUCGAUAAUACUGUAGCGGAGUUUAGGCGAAGCCCUGCUGCUGUAGUUCAUCAAGAUCGUCACCACACCGUCGUGCUGACGAAACUCUUCCCCGACACUUUGCUGGAUCGGAGUCCGGGGAUCGUCAUCGAGCUGAACGUGUGCUCGAACUCGGAGGUGCCGUAGUUUCGGUACUUGAUCGGUUGGAUCGUGAAGACGUACGACUACUUCCUCUACGUCGUGUCAUCGCUUCCGCAGUCGGUCUGCGUUGGGUACGUAGACAACACUCUCCUCUCGUUGCUAUGCAUCACAUGAUCCUGUGUGCGCGUAGGAAAUUUUUUUGAAAUUACUACGAAACCCAACAGUGGUAUCAGAGCCUAGGUUAAUGAUGUUGAUGUUAUAUGCACGAGUAGAACACAAGUGAGUUGUGGACGAUACAAGUCAUACUGCCUACCAGCAUGUCAUAUUUUGGUUCAGCGGUAUUGUUGGACGAGACGACCCGGACCAACCUUACGCGUACGCUUACGCGAGACCGGUUCCCUCGACGUGCUUUGCACAGAGAUGGCUUGCGGGCGACUGCCUCUCCAACUUUAGUUGAACCAAGUAUGGCUACGCCCGGUCCUUGCGAAGGUUAAAACGGAGUCUAUUUGACAAACUAUCGUUGUGGUUUUGAUGCGUAGGUGAGAUUGGUUCUUACUUAAGCCCGUAGCAGCCACGUAAAACAUGCAACAACAAAGUAGAGGACGUCUAACUUGUUUUUGCAGGGCAUGUUGUGAUGUGAUAUGGUCAAGGCAUGAUGCUGAAUUUUAUUGUAUGAAAUGAUCAUGUUUUGUAACCAAGUUAUCGGCAACUGGCAGGAGCCAUAUGGUUGUCGCUUUAUUGUAUGCAAUGCAAUCGCGAUGUAAUGCUUUACUUUAUUACUAAACGGUAGUGAUAGUAGUGGAAGCAUAAGAUUGGCGAGACGACAACGAUGCUACGAUGGAGAUCAAGGUGUCGCGCCGGUGACGAUGGUGAUCAUGACGGUGCUUCGGAGAUGGAGAUCACAAGCACAAGAUGAUGAUGGCCAUAUCAUAUCACUUAUAUUGAUUGCAUGUGAUGUUUAUCUUUUUAUGCAUCUUAUCUUGCUUUGAUUGACGGUAGCACUAUAAGAUGAUCUCUCACUAAAUUAUCAAGAAGUGUUCUCCCUGAGUAUGCACCGUUGCCAAAGUUCGUCGUGCCCAGACACCACGUGAUGAUCGGGUGUGAUAAGCUCUACGUCCAUCUACAACGGGUGCAAGCCAGUUUUGCACACGCAGAAUACUCGGGUUAAACUUGACGAGCCUAGCAUAUGCAGAUAUGGCCUCGGAACACGGAGACCGAAAGGUCGAGCGUGAAUCAUAUAGUAGAUAUGAUCAACAUAACGAUGUUCACCAUUGAAAACUACUCCAUCUCACGUGAUGAUCGGUUAUGGUUUAGUUGAUUUGGAUCACGUGAUCACUUAGAGGAUUAGAGGGAUGUCUAUCUAAGUGGGAGUUCUUUAGUAAUAUGAUUAAUUGAACUUAAAAUUUAUCAUGAACUUAGUCCCUGAUAGUAUCUUGCUUGUUUAUGUUGAUUGUAGAUAGAUGGCUCGUGCUGUUGUUCCGUUAAAUUUUAAUGCGUUCCUUGAGAAAGCAAAGUUGAAAGAUGAUGGUAGCAAUUACACGGACUGGGUCCGUAACUUGAGGAUUAUCCUCAUUGCUGCACAGAAGAAUUAUGUCCUGGAAGCACCGCUGGGUGCCAGGCCUGCUGCUGGAGCAACGCCAGAUGUUAUGAACGUCUGGCAGAGCAAAGCUGAUGACUACUCGAUAGUUCAGUGUGCCAUGCUUUACGGCUUAGAAUCGGGACUUCAAUGACGUUUUGAACGUCAUGGAGCAUAUGAGAUGUUCCAGGAGUUGAAGUUAAUAUUUCAAGCAAAUGCCCGGAUUGAGAGAUAUGAAGUCUCCAAUAAGUUCUAUAGCUGCAAGAUGGAGGAGAACAGUUCUGUCAGUGAGCAUAUACUCAAAAUGUCUGGGUAUAAUAAUCACUUGAUUCAAUUGGGAGUUAAUCUUCCGGAUGAUUGCGUCAUUGACAGAAUUCUCCAAUCACUGCCACCAAGCUACAAGAGCUUCGUGAUGAACUAUAAUAUGCAAGGGAUGAACAAGACUAUUCCCGAGCUCUUCGCUAUGCUGAAAGCUGCGGAGGUAGAAAUCAAGAAGGAGCAUCAAGUGUUGAUGGUUAACAAGACCACUAGUUUCAAGAAAAAGGGCAAAGGGAAGAAAAAGGGGAACUUCAAAAAGAACGGCAAGCAAGUUGCUGCUCAAGAGAAGAAACCCAAGUCUAGACCUAAGCCUGAAACUGAGUGCUUCUACUGCAAGCAGACUGGUCACUGGAAGCGGAACUGCCCCAAGUAUUUGGCGGAUAAGAAGGAUGGCAAGGUGAACAAAGGUAUAUGUGAUAUACAUGUUAUUGAUGUGUACCUUACCAAUGCUCGCAGUAGCACCUGGGUAUUUGAUACUGGUUCUGUUGCUAAUAUUUGCAACUCGAAACAGGGACUACAGAAUAAGCGGGCACUGGCAAAGGACGAGGUGACGAUGCGCGUGGGAAACGGUUCCAAAGUCGAUGUGAUCGCGGUCGGCACGCUACCUCUACAUCUACCUUCGGAAUUAAUAUUAGACCUAAAUAAUUGUUAUUUGGUGCCAGCGUUGAGCAUGAACAUUAGAUCUGGAUCUUGUUUAAUGCGAGACGGUUAUUCAUUUAAAUCAGAGAAUAAUGGUUGUUCUAUUUAUAUGAGUAAUAUCUUUUAUGGUCAUGCACCCUUGAAGAGUGGUCUAUUCUUACUAAAUCUCGAUAGUAGUAAUACACAUAUUCAUAAUGUUGAAACCAAAAAAUACAGAGUUGAUAAUGAAAGUGCAACUUAUUUGUGGCACUGUCGUUUAGGUCAUAUCGGUGUAAAACGCAUGAAGAAACUCCAUACUAAUGGACUUUUGGAACCACUUGAUUAUGAAUCACUUGGUACUUGCGAACCGUGCCUCAUGGGCAAGAUGACUAAAACACCGUUCUUCGGUACUAUGGAGAGAGCAACAGAUUUGUUGGAAAUCAUACAUACCGAUGUAUGUGGUCCGAUGAAUAUUGAGGCUCGUGGCGGAUAUCGUUAUUUUCUCACCUUCACAGAUGAUUUGAGCAGAUAUGGAUAUAUCUACUUAAUGAAGCAUAAGUCUGAAACAUUUGAAAAGUUCAAAGAAUUUCAGAGUGAAGUUGAAAAUCAUCGUAACAAGAAAAUAAAGUUUCUACGAUCUGAUCGUGGAGGAGAAUAUUUGAGUUACGAGUUUGGUGUACAUUUGAAAAAUUGUGGAAUAGUUUCGCAACUCACGCCACCCGGAACACCACAACGUAAUGGUGUGUCCGAACGUCGUAAUCGUACUUUAUUAGAUAUGGUACGACCUAUGAUGUCUCUUACUGAUUUACCGCUAUCAUUUUGGGGUUAUGCUUUAGAGACGGCCGCAUUCACGUUAAAUAGGGCACCAUCAAAAUCCGUUGAGACGACGCCUUAUGAACUGUGGUUUGGCAAGAAACCAAAGUUGUCGUUUCUUAAAGUUUGGGGCUGCGAUGCUUAUGUGAAAAAGCUUCAACCUGAUAAGCUCGAACCCAAAUCGGAGAAAUGUGUAUUCAUAGGAUACCCAAAGGAAACUGUUGGGUACACCUUCUAUCACAGAUCCGAAGGCAAAACAUUUGUUGCUAAGAAUGGAUCAUUUCUAGAGAAGGAGUUUCUCUCGAAAGAAGUGAGUGGGAGGAAAGUAGAACUUGACGAGGUAACUGUACCUGCUCCCUUACUGGAAAGUAGUUCAUCACAGAAAACUGUUUCAGUGACACCUACACCAGUUAGUGAGGAAGCCAAUGAUAAUGAUCAUGAAACUUCAGAUCAAGAUACUACUGAACUUCGUAGAUCAACCAGAGUAAGAUCCGCACCAGAGUGGUACGGUAAUCCUGUUCUGGAGGUCAUGCUACUAGAUCAUGAUGAACCUACGAACUAUGAAGAAGCGAUGGUGAGCCCAGAUUCCGCAAAGUGGCUUGAAGCCAUGAAAUCUGAGAUGGGAUCCAUGUAUGAGAACAAAGUAUGGACUUUGGUUGACUUGCCCGAUGAUCGACAAGCAAUUGAGAAUAAAUGGAUUUUUAAGAAGAAGACUGACGCUGAUGGUAAUGUUACUGUCUACAAAGCUUGACUUGUCGCAAAAGGUUUUCGGCAAGUUCAAGGAAUUGACUACGAUGAGACCUUCUCACCCGUAGCGAUGCUUAAGUCCGUCCGAAUCAUGUUAGCAAUUGCCGCAUUUUAUGAUUAUGAAAUUUGGCAAAUGGAUGUCAAAACUGCAUUCCUGAAUGGAUUCCUGGAAGAAGAGUUGUAUAUGAUGCAACCAGAAGGUUUUGUCGAUCCAAAGGGAGCUAACAAAGUGUGCAAGCUCCAGCGAUCCAUUUAUGGACUGGUGCAAGCCUCUCGGAGUUGGAAUAAACGUUUUGAUAGUGUGAUCAAAGCAUUUGGUUUUAUACAGACUUUUGGAGAAGCCUGUAUUUACAAGAAAGUGAGUGGGAGCUCUGUAGCAUUUCUGAUAUUAUAUGUGGAUGACAUAUUACUGAUUGGAAAUGAUAUAGAAUUUCUAGAUAGCAUAAAGGGAUACUUGAAUAAAAGUUUUUCAAUGAAAGACCUCGGUGAAGCUGCUUACAUAUUAGGCAUUAAGAUCUAUAGAGACAGAUCAAGACGCUUAAUUGGACUUUCACAAAGCACAUACCUUGACAAAAUUUUGAAGAAAUUCAAAAUGGAUCAAGCAAAGAAAGGGUUCUUGCCUGUGUUACAAGGUGUGAAAUUGAGUAAGACUCAAUGCCCGACCACUGCAGAAGAUAGAGAGAAUAUGAAAGAUGUUCCCUAUGCAUCAGCCAUAGGCUCUAUCAUGUAUGCAAUGCUGUGUACCAGACCUGAUGUGUGCCUUGCUAUAAGUUUAGCAGGGAGGUACCAAAGUAAUCCAGGAAUGGAUCACUGGACAGCGGUCAAGAACAUCCUGAAAUACCUGAAAAGGACUAAGGAUAUGUUUCUCGUAUAUGGAAGUGACAAAGAGCUCAUUGUAAAAGGUUACGUUGAUGCAAGCUUUGACACUGAUCCGGACGAUUCAAAAUCGCAAACCGGAUACGUGUUUACAUUAAAUGGUGGAGCUGUCAGUUGGUGCAGUUCUAAACAAAGCGUCGUAGCGGGAUCUACAUGUGAAGCGGAAUACAUAGCUGCUUCGGAAGCAGCAAAUGAAGGAGUCUGGAUGAAGGAGUUCAUAUCCGAUCUAGGUGUCAUACCUAGUGCAUCGGGUCCAAUGAAAAACUUUUGUGACAAUACUGGUGCAAUUGCCUUGGCAAAGGAAUCCAGAUUUCACAAAAGGACCAAACACAUCAAGAAACGCUUCAACUCCAUCCGGGAUCUAGUCCAGGUGGGAGACAUAGAGAUUUGCAAGAUACAUACGGAUCUGAAUGUUGCAGACCCGUUGACUAAGCCUCUUCCACGAGCAAAACAUGAUCAGCACCAAAGCUCCAUGGGUGUUAGAUUCAUUACAGUGUAAUCUAGAUUAUUGACUCUAGUGCAAGUGGGAGACUGAAGGAAAUAUGCCCUAGAGGCAAUAAUAAAGUUAUUAUUUAUUUCCUUAUAAUCAUGAUAAAUGUUUAUUAUUCAUGCUAGAAUUGUAUUUUCCGGAAACAUAAUACAUGUGUGAAUACAUAGACAAACAGAGUGUCACUAGUAUGCCUCUACUUGACUAGCUCGUUAAUCAAAGAUGGUUAUGUUUCCUAACCAUGAACAAUGAGUUGUUAUUUUAUUAACGAGGUCACAUCAUUAGUAGAAUGAUCUGAUUGACAUGACCCAUUCCAUUAGCUUAGCACCUGAUCGUUUAGUAUGUUGCUAUUGCUUUCUUCAUGACUUAUACAUGUUCCUAUGACUAUGAGAUUAUGCAACUCCCGUUUACCGGAGGAACACUUUGGGUACUACCAAACGUCACAACGUAAAUGGGUGAUUAUAAAGGAGUACUACAGGUGUCUCCAAUGGUCGAUGUUGGGUUGGUGUAUUUCGAGAUUAGGAUUUGUCACUCCGAUUGUCGGAGAGGUAUCUCUGGGCCCUCUCGGUAAUACACAUCACAUAAGCCUUGCAAGCAUUACAACUAAUAUGUUAGUUGUGAAGAUGAUGUAUUACAGAACGAGUAAAGAGACUUGCCGGUAACGAGAUUGAACUAGGUAUUGGAUACCGACGAUCGAAUCUCGGGCAAGUAACAUACCGAUGACAAAGGGAACAACGUAUGUUGUUAUGCGGUCUGACCGAUAAAGAUCUUCGUAGAAUAUGUAGGAGCCAAUAUGGGCAUCCAGGUCCCGCUAUUGGUUAUUGACCAGAGACGUGUCUCGGUCAUGUCUACAUUGUUCUCGAACCCGUAGGGUCCGCACGCUUAAGGUUACGAUGACAGUUAUAUUAUGAGUUUAUGCAUUUUGAUGUACCGAAGGUUGUUCGGAGUCCCGGAUGUGAUCACGGACAUGACGAGGAGUCUCGAAAUGGUCGAGACAUAAAGAUUGAUAUAUUGGAAGUCUAUGUUUGGACAUCGGGAGUGUUCCGGGUGAAAUCGGGAUUUUACCGGGUUACCGGGAGGUUACCGGAACCCCCCGGGAGCCAUAUGGGCCAUCAUGGGCCUUAGUGGAAAGGAGAAAGGGGCAGCCCAAGGGGGCUGCGCGCCUCCCCCCUUCCCCUAGUCCUAUUAGGACUAGGAGAGGUGGCCGGCCACCCCUCUCCCUCUUUCCCCCUUGGGAAUCCUAGUUGGAAUAGGAUUGGGGGGGGAGUCCUACUCCCGGUAGGAGUAGGACUCAUCCUGCGCCUCUCCCUCUUGGCCGGCGCCCCCUCCCCCCUUGGCUCCUUUAUAUACGGAGGCAGGGGCACCUCUAAACAGACAAGUUGACACAAGUUGAUCCACGUGAUCGAUUCCUUAGCCGUGUGCGGUGCCCCCUGCCACCAUAUUCCUCGAUAAUACUGUAGCGGAGUUUAGGCGAAGCCCUGCUGCUGUAGUUCAUCAAGAUCGUCACCACGCCGUCGUGCUGACGAAACUCUUCCCCGACACUUUGCUGGAUCGGAGUCCGGGGAUCGUCAUCGAGCUGAACGUGUGCUCGAACUCGGAGGUGCCGUAGUUUCGGUACUUGAUCGGUUGGAUCGUGAAGACGUACGACUACUUCCUCUACGUCGUGUCAUCGCUUCCGCAGUCGGUCUGCGUUGGGUACGUAGACAACACUCUCCUCUCGUUGCUAUGCAUCACAUGAUCCUGUGUGCGCGUAGGAAAUUUUUUUGAAAUUACUACGAAACCCAACAGUAAUCACCCUUUUUCAUUAUCUGUGCAAACAAGGUUAUUCAACUGCAUUUUGGUGGAACUGCACAAAUGUACGGAUGGAACUAGCAUAUAGGCAGAGUGCAAGGUGCCAAGUAAAAAUUACCGACACCAACCAUGCUCCAUCUAAGCAUUGGCAUCCACCACCACCAGUGGGAUGGGUGGCGUUCUCUCUGGACAGAUCUUUCUCGGCAGCAAAUCCUCUAAUCAAAUACUAGUAGCUUAUAUUUGCACUUUUCUAGGGAGUACUCUUUUCUGAAAGAAGCACCAAUCUAUUUUUAUUUAUUUUUAUAGUGUCACAACUUUGUUUUUGGUCCAGAGCUAUUUUAGGGUGAUUGGCGUAGUACUCGAAGACUGAUUGUAUGCAUGAUUUUCAGUAGCCGUCACACUGAUUGUAAGCAUGAGAAGAUUGAAGAUUAGGUUAGUGGCGAGGGAACCAUGGAGAACGGCGGGGAAGCAACGUCGUACCAUCCAGCCUCCUCUUGUGGUGAGAGAAUGAAUACUCCUGUGGCUCCAGCUGGCACCGCACCCUCACGAACGGCACACUGUACUCGAUCGAUUCGUUAUCCUAUGGAUGCUUGACCUUUGACAUGUACGCCCACCACCUCUGUCUGACUUUCUCCUCGGGCGAAUAUGUCUGCUCCAUCGGCCAGAGGAGAUACUCGAUGAACUCGAAGGACUGCGGCAUGACUGCCGCUGAGGAGUACAUCGUUGCCGUCUCGCCCUUUCGCAUACAUUGCCACAUGGCCCUCACUGUCCUGAAAAUCUCCCACUCGUUGUCAAACAAAGUAAGGAUAUCCUUCAACCUGGCUAACUUCUCCUGGUCGCCACCGACGAUCUGCCUGAUUUGUUGCUGCAUCCUCUCCAUAGAUGUCCUUCUGAGAGGUCCGGUGCUAGCUUUGGAAGAUGGGACGAGAGAAGGUGGUCUUGCAAUGGAGAAGAGGGAGAGGUGAGACAGUGGGUUUGCAAUGGAGAAGAUGGAGAGGAGAGGGGGUGGUUUUACAAUGGAGAAUAGGGAGAGGCGAGACGGUGGUUUUGGAAUGGAGACGAUGAAGAUGAGAGGAUUUGGUUUUGCAAUGGAGAACAUGGAGAGGCAAGAUGGCGGUUUUGGAAUGGAGAUGAUGGAGAGGAGAGGAGGUGGUUUUGCGAUGGGGAGAGGGAGAGGAGCGUGCGUCGGCGAUUUAGGAUUGGGCGAGAGGGCCGACGCGCUGUGACUGGAUCAAAAUCAAAAUCAAUUUACCCUUCAAUUAAGAAAGCGACCCCACAUUAACUAGUCUCCCUUGUAUUCUAGGUCAUAUUUGAUCAUGAUUUUCACAAAUAAAAUAUAUGUUAUAUGUUGAAAACAUAAUAUAAUUUGCAAAUACAUUCAGAUACGAACCAAAUGAUACAAUUUUUGAUGACAUACAUUCACAAUUUGCUUGUCAAAUACAGUACAUGGUCAAACUUUGACCCAGAAUACGGAAAACAAAAAAAUACUUCCAAGACCAGCGCUGCUCCUCUCCUCUUAAACCACCGCUGCUCCUCUCCUGUUCCAAUACAAAUCCAGCACCGCUCCUCUCCUCUUCCAUUUCAAAACCAUCGCCUCGCCUCUCCUGUUCCAAUCCAAAUCCAGCGCCGCUCCUCUCCCGUUCUAAUACAAAAUUAGCACCGCUCCUCUCCUCUUCCAUUCAAAAACCACCGCUGGUGAGUGAGUGUUGUGGAUAAGUAGAUAGACGGAGGAGUACAACUGAUACGUGAGGAUCGCAGACGGUGACCCUAUGAAGCUAGUUAGGAUGUUGGAGAUACAGUCUUGGUUUGACAACAAAGACCAAUUAGCGGCGACGGCGACAUCCAUAGCCAAAUAUUUGCAACAGAGCGAAAAGACAGCGAUACUCCCAAAGGGAGUCAUGCAAGAGUACAUAGAGCCGCUCCUCUGGGCCAUGGAGCAAACAGAUUCAUCGAAUCCGAUAGUGAGGCAGCUGUGUUGCGAGUAUCGAUCCAAGAUGGAGCAUCCACUAGAGAUUGAAGGAUCGAGCAUCUACAGGGUGCCGUUUGUGAGGGUGAUGUGCCAGAGCGAGCCGUUGGAGUCUUCAUCGACCAAACCCAACUGCAAGAGGAGAAAAACAGUUGGCCCGACGACGCUUCCCCGCCAUCCUCUCCCUCGCCACUCACCUCAUCUCAUGGGGUGGCUGUCUGUUGCCAAGGAAUAGGAGGGGACUGCCCCCUAACCCAAUAGUUGGGCAGAUUGUGAAUUGUCAGGAGGAGCUUAGGGUUGUCAGUAUUUACAGGUUGUGAAUUGUGUUUUGUGUUGUGUAUUUUGAGAGUACUUUCAUAUAUGAAUGUCUUUUAAAUCUCAGAUUUGCAGUGUUGAUCAUAUGAAUUAUUUUAUGAAUUCUAGAGAUCUAUUUUUAGCACUUAAAAAAAUAUAGUUUCAUAUAAAAGUGCAGACAAUGUGAUUCUCAAAGAAGAAACUACAAGUUUCAGUUUCAAAUAAGAAACUGCAAGUUUCAAAGGCAGAGCAUUUAUAUUAACACGCCCUUUUCAAAUAGGGAUAACAUCAUGUUGGAAGUUUUAUUCAUGGUCGGAAAUGGAACUGCUAGUUAGUUAAUAUCACGUUGUUCAAUAUCCAUGCAUAACACAUCUUCAUAUGACGCACAAUCAAAAAGAUAUGCUAUUCUUAAAAUGUCCACACAAUGUCGGGUGUGCGAAAAACAAAGAAAACGAGGGACGAAGUUUUGGCAAGUGUUGGAGGUGGUGUGCGUAGAUGGCAAUGGGGACCCACAUGUCAAUAAUGGCAGAGGCAAAAUAUUUGGAGAUAUUUUCACUGGAUCAGGUGGAAUCGAACCCGGGCGGAACAGCGGUCAGGUAGUGUCACUUGGCCACUGGGCUAGUUCAGUAGUUUUGCUAGAAAUUAGGCACAACGUCUACCAUUACAGUAGCAUGCCUUCCCUGGCUCCGGUUCGUUCUCGUCCGGGGCCUGGACGUCAUCCUCCGGCUUUGCGUGCUCCACGUGACGCCGUUGUUUGCCGUUGUGAACAUGCUAAACAAACGAGAGGAAUCUGGAGAGGACUAUACGUGGAGAGGUGGAUAGUCGGGACCCACCAGGUCCAUGGUCGUACGCAAGAAAGUGCCUCGUUGAAAAAAUACUUCCUCCUAAUGCUAUACUGACGUUCGGGCCCAUGGGUUUGUCAACAUAGUUAAAUUUUUUAGGUGUUUCAACGUAGUUACUAAAGGAGAUAAAUUUACAAUGAAGCUGGGGAGCUGGCAGGUAUCAUUUAUUAUCAGUGGCCCGGCAAGUAUUAGUUGGGUUGUGGGCUGCCUCGUCUAGGCUUUCUUUUUUAACAUGCGCAGCCCACGACAUGCCGGUUUGUAUUUUCUUGAGGGUCGUCAUGUAUCGACCGGCCUAUAGACCUCCCAUCCUAGGGUUUUUUUUUCUGAAACAUCCGCGGUCCAACUUAUGUAUUUUUUUGAAGAAAACACAGAGGUAUGUUCUAUUUUUCAAUAUAAGAAUAGGAACGCCAGGUCCAACUUGUUUCCUUUCUAACUAUAUUAUAUAUAUUUAUAUUAUUUUAUAUGUUAUUAUAUAUUAUUGUUAUUGUCAUCAUAUAUUUAACAGAUACUUAUAUAUAUAAGAAAAAAAUAUCCCUCGUCUUAUUAACUUAUAAAAAUAUUUUUUUACCAAUAAAAUCCUAGUUUUUUUUACAUUAAGGCAACGAAAAUCCUGGUGAUUGUGUACAGAAGCUUGGUAAGAUUUAAGGACCAAUGUAAUAAUAAUGCACCUAUUAUUUAAAUAUAUUUAUAACAAAAUGUUGAGCCCAUGUUUCUUUUUUGAUAGCAUUGCUGCGCCCACCCAACAUUAUAAUUAGAAUCAGCCCAGCAAAAUCUUGUAUUUCAAGAAAGAGCAAAUGGGUUGUAAUUUUUAGGAAAAAAAAUAAAUGGGCCGCAUGGAUGCUACAUUAUUUAUUUAGCCAGCCCAGCAAAUUCGUAUAUUUCGAGAAAGUGAAAAUGGGUUGUAGUUUUAAAACAUUGGGUUGCAUGGACGAUACAUUAUUUGUUCACCCAGCCUAGCAAAUGGACCGUAAUUCUCAAAAAAAAUCAAAUGGAUUGUAAAUUCUGAAAAAAUGGGUUGAAUAUGUGCCACAUUUUUGGAGGCUGGAAUGUGGGCCAACAGGUCGAAGCCAACGCAAGUUGUUGUCAACUUAGUCAACAAAUGAUUCUGACAUCGAUAGCCGUUGGAUUUACAUCCAACGGCCGGCAUCCAUCUUCAGUCUCUCGUCUUCUUCCUCCAGCGCCCCCGGGACCACCUGCUCCCACCUCCUGCUGCUAGCAGCUCUACUUAGCAUUCUUUGCUGUGAAGCGCUACCCCACCGCUGGCCAGGCCAUCCCUCCACACCUCAUGUUAUUCUUCACCGACUGCCGAACCACGCCACACCAGAACCAGUUAACCCUCGUACACUUCUCCGUCUGCGACUCCACUCCGCGUCUCCCAAUCUCCGGCUCGUUACCGUCCGGGGCCUCGGCGUCGUCCAUCACCUUGAAUGCGCUUGGUGCGGCGUGGUUAAUGUGGUCAACAAACGAGAGUCAUCGGAAGAGGGUUGUACAUGGAGAGGCUGACAAUGGGGAUGCACCAGGUCCAUGGACGCACGCAUGCAACCGCCUCCUUAUUACGCGAAAAUAAAAUUAUUCCUCCCCCUGAAAGCUGGGACCCACCACGUAUAUCUUCGCACAGAAGGAAGUGGCUCCUUAUUCCUGCCACUGACAGCUGGGACCCACCAGCUACAUCUUCACACGCAAGGAAGUGUGUCUAUAUUACAAAAAAAUGAUUCUUUCCCCUGACAGUUGGGACCCACGAGCUAUAUCUUCGCACGCAAGGAAGUGCCUCCUUAUCUUCCCUGACUACUAGGACCCACCCGGUCGAACCGUACGUAGGGUUGUCUGUCUAGUCCCAAACGUGUACGUACAUACUGGUCAAUCGGUCUCUCUGCAACGAUGAACCGUGACCGAGUAAGGAGCGGCACGUGUCGUAGUAGAGGCACGGGUGUAGCAUGUCACGCAGUCCCUUCUAUAUCGUGUACGUGCACAUACAACCACGCUGCAAGAAAGUAAAUACGACUGCGUACGUACAUAUGGGCGGGGUCUCGUACACGUACAGCGGCGGUGUCCUGUUCAUCGGCAGCGAACCGGCUGGGUCGGAAUGGAGAAACUGCAUCUUGUUCAUCAGGAGGCAACGGAAUACAUCCUGUUCAUCGGGAGCCAACCGGCUUGAACGGAACAGCCGAAACGAGGCCUGACGUACCGCAGAACGAAGGAAAAGGCAUUCUGUUCGACCGCCUAUGGUUGCGGGAUCCUGUUCAUUGGGAGGGGUCUGGCGUACCGCAAAAUAGAGAAAACUGUUCAUCCAACCCCCAACAAUGCUCACUAUUCAUCAAGAGGCAGCAGGUUCGAUCGGCUUCAGUUAGCAGCAGUAGCGAAGGAAUCGCUCGUGUUCAGUUAACAGCCAGGGACCGAUCGCUCGGGUUCAGUAACGUAGCUAGUGCAAUCGCUCGGGUUCAAUAAGCGAACUCCACACUCGGGUUCAGUUAGAGCCCAAUGCCUCACACACACGCUCGUAUGUAUACGAGAGAAAAUUAGCAAACCUCCGUGCAUCACUCGGCCCCAACCACCCACCGUAACCGGGAACUCCCCGAUAUUUUCCUCGCCCUCGCUUCUCUCAUGAUUUUUUCGGUCAUGGAUGACCCAAAGAAUGUCAUGCAGCUGCGUCUCCGACCCGCCCAGGACGAAAAGCCAAUUUUCUAUCAUGAUUUUUUGUCAUAGAAGUAGGAGCCCACCACAUCUAUGAUGAUACCGGGUUUUGUCACAAUUAUCGUCAUAGAAGUGUCAUAAGCAUGACAGUAAAAAAAUCGUUCGGCCCAAAAUGUCAUGGAUGUGUCUUUUUUUUGUAGUGCACUAUCCAUGGUAACUUGCGAGCAAAGUAGCGAACACCUUGCGGUCGUGGUAGAGACGCAACCGGUGAAGAGCACCUUGGCCUCCCCGUAUAGGAAGUAGGCUUGUAGUAGCGAGACGAGUGUGGCGGGUGGCCUUGCAGCGUGAGGCGGGUGGUGUUGGGGCAGAUGGGUGUUGCUGGCGGCCGUGGUUCCUCUAGUACAUGAGGAGGCGAAGAAAGCCCACAAACACCAGCAAGAACUCCCCGGAAAGCCGGCGAGGGGUGGGGGAUUUGUGUCGAUGCUGCGGGGCUAUUGUGUAGCCAGAAAAACGGGCGGUGGUGGCUAUGGCGGGGGGAGGGGGGGUGCAGGCCGCAUAGGGAAGGGGGUAUGUUCCACCGACGCGCAAGUCAGGUGGAGGACAAAGAGAGCGCCCGCAUGCAUUCGUGUGCUAUCCAUUUCGACGCAAAUGCGACCCAAAUUUGGGCUGAAAAUGGGUUGAGCGCAAACGAAAAAUGUAAGCCCGUCCAUUUGCGGUCGCGUGUUGGGCUGCGAUUUGUGUCCAUUUCACCCCAAAUGGACGCGGCCGGACCAAAUGGAGUCACCCGUUGAAAUUGGCCUAAGGAGAUUGCUUUGAGAUCAGUUUUGCUACAUGUCCUCUGCGGGAGAAUGGUCUCACCGUCGAGGCUGUACGACCCGGUCGUACAUGAAUUUUAAUGCAUGUGGCAAUUGGAGGUGGGUCCACCCAACUCCUGUGUGGCUGAAACUUUUGAAAGGCGGUGUUAAUACAAAUUCAUGGAUGCCUUUCAAUAAAUAAAAUUUAUUCAGAAAGAAAAAGCAUGUUUCAAACAUAAAUAAUACGGAUAGGAAAGAAUAUACGUUAGACAUAAAUUCUUCUCCUUUUAAUCCAAAAUAAGUGUCAGAAUUUUGAACUAAGGUUAAAUAUACGUCUAGUUCAAAACUGCUACACUUAUUAUGGAUCGAAGGGAGUACUAGGUGAGGAAAAUAUUAUGUUCAAGCAUAAAAUUUAUUCAAAGUGUAUAGUUUGAAUUAAAAUAUUGUCUUCACCAAACCGAAUGCCCACAAAUAUCCAAGGACACUCAGAUGUGUUGGGGAGAGGAUUUGACUCAUUUUGAGCCCUUGGAUCAAAGGAGAGAACCAACAUCUACUGAGGAAGCUUGGGAGAGCUCUUAUAAAUACCUCUCAAACCCUAGCUGUCGCUGUCAAAUCCAUCAUUAUCUACAGUACGAUGACUUUCUGACUGUCUACUACAACAAGUUUGCUCGGCUCCGGCGAGUGAUGGGCGAUGACGGCAGGCACGGUUCACUGCUUUAGUCGUCGCUGGGUGGUCUAUGCAUAUGGGAGUAAUUUUUAUUAUGUCUGAUAUUUGUUGAACUGUCAUGAUUGAAGAUGGAUAUAUCAAAAGUUUCUGGAAAAAAAGUAUGUACAUCAAGUAAAAUAUUAUUGAUCACGAAAAAGGUCAAGAUACCGGCAUGUAGCACACAUAUAUGAGGAGAGGGAGUAAGCUUGUAUGUAAAGAACCAACUUUUAUAUUUAAUCACCAUACACUGUAUUAUACUGGUUGUAGUCUUGUAAAAUAAACACUCUUACCAGAAAAUAAGAUACAAGCCAUGGAAGAUGCUUUAAAGUAGUGCGUCAAGGUCAUUCACACAGCCCAAUUAGACAAACCAAAUUCAUGAUACACCAGCAAAUACAUAGAGAUCAAGCUGGUAUGUGCUUCUGCUUUCAAGAUGUAUCGUCACUUGAUUCAUGUCAAUAUGAGAUGACUAAGCUGCCAGUAAGGCAAUAACUUGUCCAAGAAUAUCGAAUGCGGCCUGUGGGUGGUUUCGCUUUAGUUGAGCAAACCCCUCGUUGUUUAUAAUUUCUUGUAAUCUCUUGCCGUUUCUUGUCAUAUACCUCAGACAGCAAUCCUUGAGCUGGUGACAAUGGUAUUGCUCUGCAAGAUCCAAGGUGAACCCCACCGUGUUGAUAUCCAGCGCCUUGCCCAGCCUGCUCUCGCAUAUCAGUUUUAGCCUCUCCAUUACGUAACGAUCAGCCGCGACGAGCAAAUGAUGCGCCAUGUUUGUGGUCUCUUCCGUUGUCUCGUCCAUAAACUCUGGCAGACGAUCAUUGUACAUGUAAUGCAGCAGGAUCUCGAAGACCUUGGCAUCCACGUCCUCGACGCGGAUGCUGCUUUCUCUGCUCUCCAUCAUGGGGCCGCACAGCUGAGCUCGGAAGACGGGCGAUCGUGCAGCGAGCACGCACGCGUGCACCUUGAAUCUCUUGAACCAGCCGAUCUUGACGGUCAGGUCCGCCUUGAGCCGGCUGUCUAGAAGAUUAGCUAGAUCUUUGCUUAGGUCUGCGGGUGGCACGAUAACGCUGUCAUUAUCGUUGCCAUCCUGUUGGUCGUCCAUCGGUCUUGGGACCUCCACGGUGCACUUGAUCACUAGGCAGCCAUCGUCCAGGCACCCGGACAAAUCGGCUUUACUCACAAAAUUGCUCUUACCCAAGGCCCAAUUAGUGGAUGAGAACUUGUGGGGGCCGGUUUUGUAUUUGUGCUUCUCCCCUGUCGCCGGCGCCGCGGGGUCCUGGAGGCAGAAGGAAUAGUAGGCCGUGACCUCUUCCUCGCCGGCGUUCACCAGCUUAAGGAAAACCGAACUGAACUGAUCGUCGACGAUCCUACCGUCGCCGUUCGGGUAGUACAGGAUAGCCCAGUCGUGAUCAGCAACGCGGAAAGUGUCGGAAGUAAGCGUAAUCUUGCCCGUGAUCGUGGAGUGGCCGACGACCUUGAACAUGUGCUCGCCGGAGUGAAUUACCACCGCCGAGGAGGACUUGGUAACCAUGGCGGCCGGCCGGCGGACUUGUAGCGUAGAGGUUUCGAGAAACAAAAUCGACCUAAACGAAUCGAUGGGCAGGCACAGAGCCACGUACGUACAACGAUCGAUGUUUUUAACUGCGCCCAUAUUUAUCGGAGAUUUACCCGGAUACUUGGUAAUCACAAACGUGAGGGCAACAGAACGGGCCAAGGGGGACAGACACGUUUCCUUUUUCUUCAUCAGGAAGAAACGAAAGCAAUCUUGGCCAGACAAGUCUGGCCUACCAGCGCCGUCAGGCGGAUCCCCUCCGCUGACGACUGCCGGACGUCGGUGCUGAGGGUCGGCGGACCCGUGCGGGCAAAUCAUGUAGCUUUAGGUUUUAGUCCCUAGCAGGUUAGGAUUCGGUGUCGUCCAACGUCUUGGCUUCGACGACAGCAAAGGACGGCUAAAUAAAGAAGCUGCUAAUCUUUUCCCUACGAGGCUAUCGCUCUAUUUUUUUUUUGAAAGAAAAGGUGGAGGCUAUCGCUCUAUGGUUAGACAUUGUUUUGAAAACCAGUAUAUUCAAGCGAGGAUGGUGUGGUGGCGAUGACAUCCUUGUGGAGGACGCAUGUCUUUAGGCUUUGCCAUUGCGAUCGUUUGCUCCGGCCCCGACGCAGAGCUUGCAAUGUAGUCCAGGAGCAGAUGUAGACUGUGGUUUGAUCGGCGGCAUCUGAAAGAUAAUGGAUCGUGUGCUAUGUUCGUGGUUCGUGAAUGACAGGUAUGGUUUUCUCCUCUAUCGUUUUAGUCGAGGGGAGUAUCAGAUCUGAAAUUGGCUCUCCAGAGUACCACCUUAACAAGAUUCUUUCAACGGGUGAUAGCUUUACCUUUGAUAAAUAUUAUAUGAAUGAGGCAUGUGUUACUGUGCCAAAAGAAAAUCACGAAUGUGAGGCUGAAAUGUUUUUCAGAUCAGGAAUAUUAAAAAUCGACACCAGAUUUGUAAUAUUUCACAGCGAAUGCUAGAUUUGCCAUCUGAAAGCAGAUGGAUUUUUCAUGCUUGUGUUUACCAAUUUGUCAUGUUCUAGAGUAACAAUUGUCAUGCAGUGUAAACAAAUUAUCAAAAAAAUUACCAUGCUCCAGCGAGUAAUUCCCAUGCGUCCGAUCGGGAUCCAACGUACAUGAGGGCACCAAAUUUUUAACCCUAAAAAUCUGACAUCACAUGUAUAUUGGAGUCCUUUCAGAUUUAAUGCGGUUUUUCAUAGAGGUGGAUCACGAUCACAAUUUUGCCAGUGUUUCCUUUCUUAAGUACUACAUUUUCAAUACUGUUAUUGUUGACACUGUCCUUCAGUCCGUAUGUGUGUUUUGAGCAGUGAUGCACUGUCAGGCCCCAAGUCAACCUGAAGCUACUUGCAAGUGUUCAAAAUAUCAGAAUGUUCAGAAGACAGCUAAAGAGAGAAGGGAGAGAGGGAACGACCAUGAUGCAAGCUUAUUAGUGACCCUGAUGCAAGCUUAGUGCUGCCAGUCGAUCUGAUGGUCUACAUUCUUGUGCACUCGGUGUUAGGAUUAAUUGUAAUUUUGUUAACCUAAAAUGCGCUUAAGUGUGUGAAUAGUGUUUAAUCACUGUAAACCAAACAUGGGCGUUGCCUCUUCCGGUGGGAAGCAAGCUAUGAAAAAGCCAAAAAUUUCAUUCUGUUCAUUUUUUCCUUUCAAUUCUUCACUUUUCUUCAUAAUGUUGUGUGUCCUCUUAAUACUACAUUUUGAGAUAAUAAAAGCGCCUUUUAUCAAAAAAGUUCUUCACUUUUCCUGCAAACAACUCUCUGUAUCUCUGUAUCACGGCAAGCUAGCUGCAUGAAAAUUUGUAUCGGUAGUUCGCGAGGUCCAUGAACCCUCUGGGCAUGCCAAUAUCUAUAAUCAUCUGUGGUGAACAUGGUGAAUUUGUGGAAACUGUUCAUCGUUGGACUUUGGUAAGCUUAAGAGAUACAGGGAUGUAGCACGCCUAUUUGUGAGGAGAGGGAGUAAGCUUCUAGUACUAUGUAAAGAACCAACUUGUAUAUUUAGUCACCAUACACUGUAUUACACUAGUUGUAUGAACGGUUGUGGACUUGUAAAAUGAAUAUUCCUAUUAGAAAAUAAAACAUAAGCUAUCGGACAUGCUUUAAAGUGGUGCGUCAAGGACAAAGCUGCCAAAUUCAUAGUUCUCAAAGAAUAAAAACUAUCGUUUCCUAACCGCACGUCCGGAAAAGUUGGAUCGCUCGAGGCGAUCAGGGAGGCGACUAGGGGUCCCUUGCGCGCCGCCAGUGACGCCGCCGGUUCCCUCUCUCUCCGUCGGCCGCUCCGGCGGCGGGAGGGAGGGGGAACCUCGGGUCUGUUCACUAGGUGGGUGUGUGGUAGGGUUAGGGUUGAGGGAGACGCUGCCGAAGCCGUUGCGGUGGUGUCGCGUCGAAAUAAGUUUCUCCGGGCUCCGUUCGCGGUCAGGCGAGGCUUUUGCCUUCGUCUAGGAGCCAGCGGUGUUGGGGAUCCCCGGAUCUCGUCGAGGUCGCGGGCUAUGGUGGUUGGAGGUCCAUCGGCACUGGCCGUUUGGAUCCUCAGAUGGGCGAUGGAGGUAGGGAGACGAAGACCUUUCUUCUUCCUUGUUGGUACGAUUUGCUGCUGCUGUUCUUCUACUUCCUCUACGCUGAUGCUGGUGGGAGAUCCUGCUUUGCCCGGGCGGAUGGCCCGGCCGCGGUGCCGGACCGGUCGGAUGACUCGAGUUCUCUUCCUUCCGGAAGGGACACUUUUCGCGGUACUCAAAGCCAAAGAUGACGACGGCCGUUGCAGGUGUGUUGGAUUGAUGUCCAUACCCUCUCAGCGCUGGUGUCAAGAAAGGAGGAAGCAGCGUGGCGGCAAUUGUACCGUGGUUGAAGAUGAUGACCUGUUUGCGAUUGGUUGCAGAUCCUUCUGCUGCAGGGGUCUUCUCUCAAGAUUCAGGGAUGAUGACACAGGGCUCCGGAGAUCUUCUUGUGUUAUGGUUGUCUUAGGGUACUCUAGGUGUUCAUGGUUCUUUGUUUUUGCGUUUCAGUGUGCUUGUAAGGGUCACCUACUCUAUACUGAUUCGUGAUUUGAAUGAACAAUUUCUCAAAAAAUAAAAACUACCAAAUUCAUGAUACAUCAGUAAAUAUAUAGAGAUCAACCUAGUAUCUGUUUGCAUUAAAAAAAGAAGCUGGUAUCUGUUUCUGCUCCCAAGGACGUGACUUGUCCAAGAAUAUUUCCCGCAAAAAAAAAACGUGUCCAAGAAUAUCGAAUGCGACGCGUGGUUGGUUUCGCUUUAGCUGAGCAAACCCCUUGGUGUUUACAAUGUCUCGUAACCGCUCACCGUCACUUGUCAUAUACUCCCUCCGGUCCUUUUUACUCUGCUACACAUUGGAUUUGCCGAAAGUCAAACUUAGCUAAGUUUGACCAAAUUUAUAUUAAAAAUUAUUAGCAUCUAUGAUAUCUAAUAAAUAUAAUAUGAAAAUAUAUUCCGAGAUGAAUCUAAUGAUGUUGGUGUUGUUAUGUAAAUAUCAAUAAUUCUUUGUAUAAACUUGGUCAAAGUUGGAUGAGAUUGACUUCAGACAAACCUAAUAUGCAGAGUAAGAAGGACCGGAGGGAGUACCUGAGACGACAAUCCUUAAGCUGCUGAAACAGUGGUAUUGCUCUGCAAGAUCCAAGGUGAACCCCACCGUGUUGACGUCUAACCCCUUGCUCAGCCUGCUCUCGUACACCAGCUUUAGCCUUUCCAUUGCGUAACGACCAGCCGCGACGAGCAAAUGCCGCGUCAUCUUUGUGGUCUCUUCAGUUGUCUCAUCCAUAGACUCUAGCAGACGAUCAUUGUACAUGUAAUGCAUGCUAGCCCGGAGUACUAGUAAAUAGCUCUCACUUGUACACUCAACAGAGGAGAACUAGCUAGAUGUUUGCACGCAAGCUGCUGCCGCACACACACAUGAAGUGAGGAGCUCACGUACUAGCACUAGUAGAAGAAACUGGCUUGUUGUUUUUCUAUUGCUCGGAGGAGUGAUUUACAACGGAGGUGCAUAUGCCCUUUUAUAGGGAUGCAUGCAAACAUGAGGCUGUAGUACAUGAGCUGUAGUACUAAUUCAGCUCAGCCUUUUUGACUAGAUAAAGUCUAAUACUAGUUCUCCACAUUAGGCUUUUUACUGGAGAAAGACUGCUACUACUCAUCGUCCACUACUCAGCUCCUUUCUAACCAGAGAAAGCCUCACGUUACUUAGCUACCUCAGGCUUUUGGACUGGAGAAAGCCUAGCUUAAGCAACGGCAGCUGUGUUCAAUCCUGUAGACUGGGUUUGACCCAACAAUCUCCCCCUCAAACCUGUCGAAGAGGCUUGACGUCGACGAUCCUGACCUUGUCGCACAGUUCCUGGAACCGAACGCGACCAAGAGCUUUUGUCAGGAUGUCCGCCUUCUGCUCACCUGUCCUAAUGAACUCCACUAUCACCGUGCCCUUCUCGACGCAAUCACGUAUGAAGUGAUAGCGGAGAUCGAUGAGCUUGCUGCGGUCGUGAAGCACUGGAUUCUUGCAGAGGGAAAUCGCCGACUUGUUGUCGACGAAGAUGAGCGCAGGGGCGGUGUCCUGAUUCAGCAUCUCGCCGAGAAGGCGAGCAAACCAAAUACCUUGACAUGCCGCUGUAGCUGCCGCGAUGUACUCCGCCUCGCACGAAGAAGCGGCGACAACCUUCUGCCUCACCGAUUGCCAGCUGACGGGACUGUUCCCAAGAAGGAACAAUAUGCCCGAGGUGCUCUUUCGGGAGUCCACGUCACCAGCGUGGUCGGAGUCACUGUAUCCGACCAAGCUCUCGCCGUCGCCACGGCGAUACACGCAUCCAUGCGUGAGCGUACCCGCGAUGUACCGGAGCAGGUGCUUGACGGCAGCGAGGUGAUCGCUUGCCGGGACUUCCAUGAACCUACUCAGGUACCCGACAAUGAACGUAAUGUCCGGUCGGGUGUGCACGAGAUACCUGAGGCUCCCGAUGAUGUUGCGGUAGAGCGUAGCGUCCACCGCCUUCUCGGAGCUAUCCUUGCUGAGCUUCAGUCGUGCCUCCAUUGGAGCAUGCACGGCAUGGCAGUCCUUCAUGCCUGCCCGCUCGAGCAUCUUGGCGGCGUAGGCUGUCUGCGUGAUCGUGAUGCGACCACCCUCCUGGUUCACCUCCAGCCCGAGGUAGUACCGGAGCAGCCCAAGGUCGCUCAUGCUGAAGAGACGAUGCAUCUCUCCCUUGAAGCGUCGAACCUCUUCGGGCUCUGCCCCGGCGAUGACCAGGUCAUCGACGUAGAUGCCGACGAUAAGCAGCGUGUUCGCGGUGCCACGCGAGUACACGCCGUGCUCAGAAGCGUUGCGUGAGAACCCAAGGGAUGCAAGGCUUGCAUCGAGCUUGGUGCUCCACGCCCUUGGGGCUUGCCGGAGACCGUACAGGGCCUUGUGUAGCCUGUACACGCCCUGCUCGUGGCUCUUGGCAACGAACCCUGGAGGCUGGGAGACGUACACCUCCUCGUUAAGGUCGCCGUUGAGAAACGCCGACUUGACGUCCAUGUGGUGUACCUCCCAACCGCGGUGAGCAGCCACCGCAAGGAUGAGCCGGAUGGACUCCAGCCUUGCCACCGGAGCGAAGACUUCCUCGAAGUCCAUUCCCUCACGCUGCACGUAGCCCUUGGCGACGAGGCGCGCCUUGUGCAUGAAAAUGGCGCCGUGCUCGUCCUUCUUCACCUUGAACACCCACUUGAGCCCGAUGGCUCGGUGCCCAGCAGGCAGUGUGGUGAGUGUCCAAGAGGCGUUGUCGUUGAUCGACGCCAACUCGUCCAGCAUCGCGUGGCGCCAGCACUCCUCUUGCUCGGCCUCCGCGAACGUGGUUGGCUCCUCGCCGGCCAUCAGAUGCAGGACCUCGUCGUCAUCAGCGUCCUCAUCCUCGGGCUGCUGCCGCGUUGUCGCAGGCUCGCCGAGAAGAUCCCCCAUGCGUCGGAACCUGUGUGGGGCGCCAACNNNNNNNNNNNNNNNNNNNNNNNNNNNNNNNNNNNNNNNNNNNNNNNNNNNNNNNNNNNNNNNNNNNNNNNNNNNNNNNNNNNNNNNNNNNNNNNNNNNNCCUUGUCGGGUCCCGAGUUUGGGGAUGCCGUCGCCGGGGUGUGGCUCCCCCACACCCGAGCCUUCAUCGCCUCCCAGUCGACAGGCCCCGAAAACGUCGUUGUCGAGGUGUGGCCUGUCACUGGAGUGAUGGUUCCCGUGGACGGGUUCCGUGCCUCCUGCACGGAAUGGGUGGUUGUCGGAGCCGUGGUCGCGAGAGACGCUGUGCUCUCCUGCACGGGCUCGACUCUUGCCAGCAUCAUUGCCGGCCCGCCAUCCACGUCAGCCUAGACGAGGUUUGCCAUUGCCGCGGCUGCCUCGUCGGCUUUCCUCUUGUGGCAAUCCCGGAUCCAGUGACCCGACAUGUCGCAGUAGCGGCACUUGCCACCGUUGCCAGCGCCUCGCCCUGCCCGGCUUGGCUUGCGACCGCGGUUGCCGCCACCGCUCUGGGCGCGGCCUCUGCCUCUGCCGCGACCUCUGCUUCCCGUGGGGGCGCCUCCCCCACUGCCGGAAGAGCCGUCGCGGCCGCGCUGCUGAAGCUGCGCGUCCCACUGCUCCUUGGUGAGCAGUAGUUCGCCGCCAGCACGGUUGUCGGCUUCAUCGCCGCGCUCCUCGACGACCUUCAGCCGCCCUACCAGCUCCUCGAUCGUCAUGGUGGAGAGAUCCGCCAAGCUCUCGAUGGACCAGGCCAGUUUCUUGUACUGCCUGGGGACGACGCGAAGGAACUUCAGAAUCACCAUCUUGUUGUCGAUGUGAUCUCCGAGCGUUGCGAGCUCGUUGACGAGACCUUGCAGCCGCAAGGCGAAGUCGUCAACUUGUUCACCGGUCCUGAACCGGAUCUCCUCGUACUGGAGGCGCAAGGUCUGGGCCUUCGACUCUCGUACGCGCUCCACGCCGAUGCGCAGAGUCUUGAUGGUCUCCCAUGCUUCCUUGGCCGUCUCCUUGGCGCCAAGGGUGAGCACCAUCUCCUCUGGGACGGAGCGCAAGAUCGCCUCCAUCGCCAGCCGGUCCUCCUCGUACUCGACACCGCCGGUUUCCACGGCUUUCCACAUAUGCCGCGCCUCCAUGAUGACUUUCAUCAUGACCGACCAACUGGGGUAGUUGGUCCGCGUGAGGAGAGGGAAGGAGGUGCUGGACAUGCCCACGUCUCGCACGGAGCGUGGCGCACCCAGCUCACCUCCCGGCCUGCCUCGCAGCGCGAGCGCGUCCGCCGCACGGGUGUCCUCAGCCGAGCUCUGCUCGGCGGUCUUGGAACC